AUAUCAAUGGAUGGGGUGUAGCCCAAAAUGCGGUCUUCCUCGAUUGAUGGAAUAUUUAGCAAUGCUUCAAAGUCCAACUUCCCGGCGACAGCACAGAUGCCGGGACCCGGGACCCACCACAUGUAUGGCCUACAGUUACUGUGGUGUACUCAGUUUGAUCCCAUUUCCUCCGCCAUCCUCCCGACCCAAUCACGUUCUUCCACGUUGUCAUUCUACCCUAAUUCUACCAAUACCCUCUCGACAACACCAAUCCCUUGUUCCCAAUCUCUUUUCUAAGCAUCUGUUUAGGUAAAUCUUGAGUUAAAAUCGAAAACAAAUCAAGAUGAUGUUUCAUUCGUUAAUCUUGCUCCCCCACCACAUGAUAUCUUUGAUUAAUCAUGAUACGGGCAUAAACGACAAGCAACUAGUGGAGAACAUAAACAUGGCGGUGGUGUGGUGGGGUGGAGUUAAGAACGCAACCACAAAGCAGAUUCGUCAUCUUUCUUCUAUAAAAUGGAAGAUUUUCGUGUCUGGGUUUAUCUUUCUAUAUUCCAUGUAUAACACAAUUAACUCAACCAUGAUUGAAAGAUACAAUAGCUAAGGAGUCUGUAACUAAUUGUGUUUCGAUCAAGAAAUGAUUUUGCAAAAGUUGUUUACUUUAUUUCAUGAUUAUCGUGUUCUUGCUGCUAACAAGUGAGGAGAAAAGAUGGAGUUUGGUUGAAAUCUGACAGAAGAGAGUGAGCACACGCAGAGGCAAUUGUAUAGAGAGACUAUAUUGGACUUAUGCGUGUGCUCACUUCUCUUGCUGUCAGCCUCCCUUUACUUCUUUCUCCUUUCACAUGUCUUCUGUUCUAUGUGUUGUUUAUGCUACAGAAUGUAUCAUAUGGGUUUUGCUUAUUUUAUGUAUUUUUUCAUGUUAAUGGGAACUGGGAAAGCAUGGAAAACUGUAGAAGGUGCAGAGAAGAUGGACACCUGGCUACUGGGAUAUAUAUCUAUCUAUCAAAAAUACUUGAAAAAAGCUGCAACUUUCUGAUGACUAUAGUUACACCACACCUACACCUCCACAUUCUUUAAUAUUGUUCUUAUCCCUCUUUCUCUACAAAAUAUCUUUUUCUUGGCUUCUUGCAACAUUAAAUAGUUUCAGAAUGGCAAGAUCUAUAAGAUCAAGAACAAUAGGUACAAAAUGGAUCGGAUCAUACCCAUCCGCAGGUUCUUUUCCUAUUGCUAAAUUUAUACUAUUUAUGAUUGAUUGGUUAUUUAUAUAAUUUGUUUCUAACUGUUGUUCUUUCUUACUGAUUUACAUUAUAAUAAUAUUUAUCCGACCUGGGAGUUGGAGUGCUACAAACCUGUACUUUUUGUUGAAGGAGAGGACGAAAUGAGAUUUUAUUUAAAUCAUUAGCAAGGCACACGCACUGAAAUACACAGAUAGCGAGAGAUCACUGUGUUAUAUGUACAUAUAUUCGAUGUGGGUUUUGAUUUUCAGGUAACAUGAUAGUAUGUAAGCAGAUAUAGUGAAGUCUUUGCCUUCUCAGAGAGGCAUCAAAUCAAAGAAAUUUUUUCAGGUACAAGAGAUCAUAUCAGUGAUAUGGGUUUGAUUUUCAAGUACGAUAGUGUGUAAGAAGUCGUUCUUUUCAUAUAUCUCAGGUAUCAGAUCAAAGAAAGAGUUUCAGGGACAUGCAGUACAUGAAGGGGAGAACGAAGAAACAAGUUACAAGGGAUUCAUGGAAACAAAGUGGGUUAAUUUACAAGUAUGCCGGUAUACGACUAGAUCCAAACAAGAAAUAAUCUGGUUGAUAUAAAAAUGGUUUGCUGAAAUUUUGUCGAGUGAGAAAGAUUAUGUUAGGUUUUUGAAAGACAAUUUUUUUCCAAGUGGCAAAUCAGCAAUUUUCUAGUACCAUUUAUGUUAAAAGCAUAUAUAUAGGGCUUCCUUUAUAUUUAGAAGCUCAAUUAGAUUACAUAUACUGAGUGGAUACUAAAAAUUCUGUAUAUGAUAUUGGGACUAUUUUAUUAUGUAACCAAUGGGCUUCAAGAUCAAAGACUAUUUGAAGUAGGGUUAUACCCUAAUCUUGUGAAUCAUGUAAUCUCAUUGGAUUCUUUAUUCA